GAUGAACGCUAGCGGCAGGCUUAAUACAUGCAAGUCGUGGGGCAGCAGGGGUAGCAAUACCCGCUGGCGACCGGCAAACGGGUGCGUAACACGUACGCAACUUUCCUUUAAGCGGGGAAUAGCCCGGAGAAAUCCGGAUUAAUACCCCAUAUUAUAUUAAAAUGGCAUCAUUUAAAUAUUAAAGCUUCGGCACUUAAAGAUGGGCGUGCGGCUGAUUAGGUAGUUGGCGGGGUAACGGCCCACCAAGCCUACGAUCAGUAGCUGAUGUGAGAGCAUGAUCAGCCACACGGGCACUGAGACACGGGCCCGAUCCUAGGGAGGCAGGCAGUAAGGAUAUUGGUCAAUGGACGAAAGUCUGAACCNGCCAUGCCGCGUGAGAUGAAGGUCCUCUGGAUUGUAAACUUCUUUUANCUGGGGAACAAAAAGGGAUUCUUUCUCACUUGACGGUACCAGAUGAAUAGCACCGGCUAACUCCGUGCCAGCCGCC
rnacentral:rRNA from 1 species